rnacentral:rRNA from 1 species
UACGUAGGUGGCAAGCGUUGUCCGGAAUUAUUGGGCGUAAAGCGCGCGCAGGCGGUCCUUUAAGUCUGAUGUGAAAGCCCACGGCUCAACCGUGGAGGGUCAUUGGAAACUGGGGGACUUGAGUACAGAAGAGGAAAGUGGAAUUCCAUGUGUAGCGGUGAAAUGCGUAGAGAUGUGGAGGAACACCAGUGGCGAAGGCGACUUUUUGGUCUGUAACUGACGCUGAGGUGCGAAAGCGUGGGGAGCAAACAGG